CAAGACUUGGCGUAAGCUAGGGCCUUACAGUUCUGUUUAUUGUUAUCUUUUGUGAGAUUGGAUUGACAAGAUUGUAAGUAAAUGCAUUGCUCUUGUGCAAGACUCAACAUAACUGUUGGAUCCUUACAGUCCGAUUUUGCAUGAAACAUUUUUAUUAAACUUGUAUUUCUGUUUUAAAUAAAGUCAGGUUGAAGACUAUAGAACAAGCGCUUAUUGGGAAGCAACCAAAGUUAUAAAUUUUUGUGUUAGUUAAUCUCAGGUACCAAAUAACUAUGAGCAUGAUUCACCAACGAAUCGCCAAGCAAAGCAAAAGGCAAGGCAUGUCAAGCCACAUGUUAAGGCAAAAAAGAAUGCAAGCUAUUACUUGAAUUUUAUUGGUGCUUUUGAAUUGGAAUGGUUCCAAAAUGACUUACAGUGGUGAGGAUGUUGUCGAUGACGAUUAGCACAGCCUCAAGGAAGUUCUCUGUUUUAAUUUUAUCUAUCUUUACAUUGAGGACAAUGUUUGUCUUAAGUUUGGG
rnacentral:lncRNA from 1 species